UGAAUUCUCGAGGGAAACCAUGUUCUUGUUUUUCACGUUGGACAGUUGUAUAUAAAAAAUAAGAGCUUAAACCCUACGAGACUACACAAUCAGAGUCUCGGACCUCAAAUCUAGUGCUUGUAAGAAGGAGAAAGGCAACAAGGGAAUAGGGAUACAUAUGGGUUCCGGUGGAUUUUCAAAAUGGUGGACGGCCACCAUAACUGUAGCUCUUGCAGUUCUUUCUGCAACCACAGCCAUCCCUUAUUAUUUUUGCAGGAAGAAAUCCAAAGCUUUGGAUUCAAAGGUUCAAGAGCUUGAGAUUGCUCUCAAUUCCUCCUUGCAAAAAUGUGCUGCUGAGAGGCAAGGUCGAAUAAGAGCCCAGCAGGCAUUGAGGGAGGCCUUAGCUCAACCGAAAGUUAAGCACUUGGAGCAGACUUCUUAUCCCAUGGCACCUAUUGGGUUAGUUCAGUCUUGCUUCUCUACCAGAAAUGGGACUCCGAGACAACCUUUACUAGUACCUCUUGCUAGGGGAUGCUUAGUCUUCAGUUCCUCUCGAGUUCCUCCGGCAUCCCUUGAAGGUUUAGAAGAAUAUUCUCAUUGCUGGAUUAUAUAUGUCUUUCAUUUGAACACAGAUAUAGAGAAGUUGUGGAAACAACCUUCUAGAUCAAAGUUCAAAGCAAAGGUUAGAGUACCAAGAUUGAAAGGUCGAAGGAUGGGAGUCUUCGCUACACGAUCUCCACAUCGCCCCUGCCCUAUUGGACUCACUGUUGCAAAGGUGGAAGCAGUGCAAGGAAACAUGGUUCUUCUUUCUGGUGUAGAUCUGGUUGAUGGGACUCCAAUACUUGACAUCAAACCCUAUCUACCAUAUUGUGAUAGCAUCCAAGGAGCAACAGUGCCAAAGUGGGUAAUGGAGGACAGCAUGUUAGCAGUAGCUUCUGUUAGCUUUUCUGAGGGUUUCUCUGCCUCAUUUGCUCAUUCUUGGGAAAUAGCAGGAAAGAAGUCACUCUAUGCAUCGCCUGAUGAGUUCCAGCACUUAAUAAAACAAGUUCUAUCGUGGGAUAUCCGAUCAGUAUCUCAACGAAACCAACCUCAUGAUCCCAUUUUUAAGGAAGGAAAUGGGAAAGAUUUAUGUGGUUCUCCAGAUUCAGAUGGCAACCAUGAUGAGGAUACUUCUGGCAAUGAAAAUGUUAAGGUUCCCCUUCAUUCUGAGGAUGUAAUAUAUCACCUAAUUUUGGAAGGAAUCAACGUCUCAUACAGAAUUGACUGCAAUGGCAAUGUAAUGGUACAGAAAGCCAUAGUUUCAUCCGAGUAUCCAAAUGUUAAUCACAACCAUUGCAGUUAUUCCAUGUGGAGAGACAAACUCAGUUGAUUUAUUAUUAUUAUUAUUGGUAACAAAGAGGGGAAGAACAAGAAAAACACCAGACAGAAGAACCACUAACAGAAGCACACGUUGUGGAAUGACGUGCCAACCAGGGAAGCAGACCUUGCGGAGCCAAUCCGAAAGAAAUUGAAAAUCAGCAAGAAAUACUUAUGAAAGCGCAACCAGCCAUUUAUGGAGAUGCAACAGCCUAUCUUCUCCGGAGUUCCUUGGAAGAGCAAUUACUUUCAACAACUAUUGAAAAAGAGACAACUAAAAGACAUGCUUAUGAUCAUCAAGAUAGAAGAAUAUGUGAAGGAGUUCAAGUCGAUCUGCGACAAUCUUGCUGCGAUAAAGAAGUCUUCUCUAAUCUUGACAAAGUACUUUAGUUUGCUCGUGGUUUAGGAUUAAAAUAUGAGAAAACUACCAUAUGCUACCCAUAAUUAGUUCGUUGUUUCUCAUGGACAUAGUAAUAGGGGAGUCCGCAACUGCUUCAACUCAGAGAAAAGGCUUCACUCUAGUUGGUCCUUAAUAGGGGAGCACAUUGUGGGUUAAACCGAAUAAUCAAAUCAAAUCAAACUAUUUAGGUUCGAUCGGUUCAGUUAUUUGGUUCUCUC